rnacentral:tRNA from 1 species
UCCGAAGUAGCUCAGCCGGUCAGAGCAGCUGACUGUUAAUCAGCGGGUCGCCAGUUCGAAUCUGGCCUUCGGAG